UAGGGAAUCUUCCGCAAUGGGCGAAAGCUUGACGGAGCAACGCCGCGUGAGUGAUGAAGGUCUUCGGAUCGUAAAACUCUGUUAUUAGGGAAGAACAAAUGUGUAAGUAACUAUGCACGUCUUGACGGUACCUAAUCAGAAAGCCACGGCUAACUACGUGCCAGCAGCCGCGGUAAUACGUAGGUGGCAAGCGUUAUCCGGAAUUAUUGGGCGUAAAGCGCGCGUAGGCGGUUUUUUAAGUCUGAUGUGAAAGCCCACGGCUCAACCGUGGAGGGUCAUUGGAAACUGGAAAACUUGAGUGCAGAAGAGGAAAGUGGAAUUCCAUGUGUAGCGGUGAAAUGCGCAGAGAUAUGGAGGAACACCAGUGGCGAAGGCGACUUUCUGGUCUGUAACUGACGCUGAUAUGCGAAAGCGUGGGGAUCAAACAGG
rnacentral:rRNA from 1 species